UGCUACGGCCGCGUGGCGCGUUGGUACACCCGAUCCCUCGAUCUCGGAAGUUAAGCAACGCGAUGGUCCGAUCAGUUCUUGGAUGGGAGACCAACCAAGGACGACUGGAUUGCUGUAGCCU
rnacentral:rRNA from 1 species